rnacentral:lncRNA from 1 species
GUGUUAUCUAGGAAAAGUGCAGGCCUCCGGUUUCUUUACUCAUCUCAAGGUGGUCUCUGAGAGGCCCUGCCUGGAAGAAGAGCAGGUUACAGCAAGAUGGGGAAUGGAGCAGUGUGCAGCUGCCACCAGCCAGGCGGAGACUUUAGGAUUCACUUCUGGACAGGGACAGGGAAGACAUUUUCCUUUCAAUGCCUCGAGGCCCUUCAGCAACUGUAGGAGCGGGCGUGGUGUUGUCGCUACUGUCAGAUCCUGGACCGGGCAGCCGACUUUUUCUUGACUUGGACAUCAGCAGUGGAAGCAAGGGAAGUUUCAAGACACACAGUAAAGUUUGCUUCAGUC